rnacentral:rRNA from 1 species
CAGUAGCCGCGGUAAUACGAAGGGGGCUAGCGUUGCUCGGAAUGACUGGGCGUAAAGGGCGCGUAGGCGGUUUUGACAGUCAGAUGUGAAAUUCCUGGGCUUAACCUGGGGGCUGCAUUUGAGCCGUCAAGACUAGAGUGUGAGAGAGGGUUGUGGAAUUCCCAGUGUAGAGGUGAAAUUCGUAGAUAUUGGGAAGAACACCGGUGGCGAAGGCGGCAACCUGGCUCAUUACUGACGCUGAAGCGCGAAAGCGUGGGGAGCAAACAGGAUUAGAUACCCCAGUAGUCCCUGUCUCUUAUAU